UGCAAUGAUGAUUCAGACUAGAGUCUCUGAAAACAACAAUUUGGAGAUAACUUUAUUCGCUGAGCA